GUGGGGAAUAUUGGGCAAUGGGCGAAAGCCUGACCCAGCAACGCCGCGUGAGGGAAGAAGGUUUUCGGAUUGUAAACCUCUGUCCUUGGUGACGAACACAAUGACGGUAGCCAAGGAGGAAGCCCCGGCUAACUACGUGCCAGCAGCCGCGGUAAUACGUAGGGGGCAAGCGUUGUCCGGAAUGACUGGGCGUAAAGGGCGUGUAGGCGGCCGAUUAAGUCUGGAGUGAAAGUCCUGCUUUCAAGGUGGGAAUUGCUUUGGAGACUGGUUGGCUUGAGUGCGGAAGAGGCAAGUGGAAUUCCCAGUGUAGCGGUGAAAUGCGUAGAGAUUGGGAGGAACACCAGUGGCGAAGGCGACUUGCUGGGCCGUAACUGACGCUGAGGCGCGAAAGCGUGGGGAGCGAACAGGAUUAGAAACCCGGGUAGUCC
rnacentral:rRNA from 1 species